rnacentral:tRNA from 1 species
GGGGGCGUGGCGUAAUGGCAGCCGCUGAGGAUUUAAAAUCCUCUGUCCGAAAGGACGUGCAGGUUCGACUCCUGCCGCCCCUACCA